GUUGUAUAGUCAAGUAAUUAAGUGCAUGUGGUGGAUGCCUUGGCAGUCAGAGGCGAUGAAAGACGUGAUAGCCUGCGAAAAGCUCCGGGGAGGCGGCAAAUAUCCUUUGAUCCGGAGAUGUCUGAAUGGGGGAACCCACCUACUUUAAGGUAGGUAUUGCAACAUGAAUACAUAGUGUUGCAAGGCGAACGAGGGGAAGUGAAACAUCUCAGUACCCUUAGGAAAAGAAAUCAAUUGAGAUUCCCUCAGUAGCGGCGAGCGAACGGGGAUCAGCCCAUUAAGUUAUGUGUGUUUUAGUGGAACGCUCUGGGAAGUGCGAACGUAGAGGGUGAUAUUCCCGUACACGAAAGGGCACACAUAAUGAUGACGAGUAGGGCGAGGCACGUGAAACCUUGUCUGAAUAUGGGGGGACCAUCCUCCAAGGCUAAAUACUCCUGACUGACCGAUAGUGAACCAGUACCGUGAGGGAAAGGCGAAAAGAACCCCUGUGAGGGGAGUGAAAUAGAUCCUGAAACCGCAUGCAUACAAGCAGUGGGAGCACCUUCGUGGUGUGACUGCGUACCUUUUGUAUAAUGGGUCAGCGACUUAUAUUCAGUAGCAAGGUUAACCGUAUAGGGGAGCCGUAGAGAAAUCGAGUCUUAAUAGGGCGUUUAGUUGCUGGGUAUAGACCCGAAACCAGGCGAUCUAUCCAUGAGCAGGUUGAAGGUUGGGUAACACUAACUGGAGGACCGAACCCACUGUCGUUGAAAAGCCAGGGGAUGACUUGUGGAUAGGGGUGAAAGGCUAAUCAAGCCUGGUGAUAGCUGGUUCUCCCCGAAAGCUAUUUAGGUAGCGCCUCGGACGAAUACCAUAGGGGGUAGAGCACUGUUUCGGCUAGGGGGUCAUCCCGACUUACCAAACCGAUGCAAACUCCGAAUACCUAUGAGUACUAUCCGGGAGACAGACUGCGGGUGCUAACGUCCGUAGUCAAGAGGAAAACAAUCCAGACCGCCAGCUAAGGCCCCAAAAUCAUAGUUAAGUGGGAAACGAUGUGGGAAGGCAUAGACAGCUAGGAGGUUGGCUUAGAAGCAGCCACCCUUUAAAGAAAGCGUAAUAGCUCACUAGUCGAGUCGGCCUGCGCGGAAGAUGUAACGGGGCUAAAACUAUGUGCCGAAGCUGCGGAUGUAUACUUUGUAUACGUGGUAGGGGAGCGUUCUGUAAGCCGAUGAAGGUGUGUUGAGAAGCAUGCUGGAGGUAUCAGAAGUGCGAAUGCUGACGUGAGUAACGACAAAACGGGUGAAAAACCCGUUCGCCGAAAGACCAAGGGUUCCAGUCCAACGUUAAUCGGGGCUGGGUGAGUCGACCCCUAAGGCGAGGCCGAAAGGCGUAGUCGAUGGGAAAAUGGUUAAUAUUCCAUUACUUCUGUGUAAUGCGAUGAGAGGACGGAGAAGGCUAAAUCAGCCUGGCGUUGGUUGUCCAGGUGAAAGGAUGUAGGCAUGUAUCUUAGGCAAAUCCGGGGUACUCUAUGCUGAGAUCUGAUAGCAAGCUGUACUUGUAUAGCGAAGUGGUUGAUGCCAUGCUUCCAGGAAAAGUCUCUAAGCUUCAGUUACACAGGAAUCGUACCCGAAACCGACACAGGUGGUCAGGUCGAGUAGACCAAGGCGCUUGAGAGAACUCUGCUGAAGGAACUAGGCAAAAUGGUACCGUAACUUCGGGAGAAGGUACGCUGUUGUUGGUGAUGGAACUCGCUUCCUGAGCUGACGACAGCCGCAGAAACCAGGCCGCUGCAACUGUUUAUUAAAAACAUAGCACUCUGCAAACACGAAAGUGGACGUAUAGGGUGUGAUGCCUGCCCGGUGCUGGAAGGUUAAUUGAUGGGGUUAGCGUAAGCGAAGCUCUUGAUCGAAGCCCCAGUAAACGGCGGCCGUAACUAUAACGGUCCUAAGGUAGCGAAAUUCCUUGUCGGGUAAGUUCCGACCUGCACGAAUGGCAUAAUGAUGGCGGCGCUGUCUCCAGCAGAGGCUCAGUGAAAUCGAAAUCGCUGUGAAGAUGCAGUGUACCCGCGGCUAGACGGAAAGACCCCGUGAACCUUUACUGCAGCUUGACACUGAACUUUGACCUUACUUGUGUAGGAUAGGUGGGAGGCUUUGAAGCUGGAACGCUAGUUCCAGUGGAGCCGUCCUUGAAAUACCACCCUGGUAAUGUUGAGGUUCUAACUCUGUCCCGUGAUCCGGGACGAGGACCGUGUCUGGUGGGUAGUUUGACUGGGGCGGUCUCCUCCUAAAGAGUAACGGAGGAGUACGAAGGUGCGCUCAGCGUGGUCGGAAAUCACGCGUAGAGUAUAAAGGCAAAAGCGCGCUUAACUGCGAGACCCACAAGUCGAGCAGGUACGAAAGUAGGUCUUAGUGAUCCGGUGGUUCUGUAUGGAAGGGCCAUCGCUCAACGGAUAAAAGGUACUCUGGGGAUAACAGGCUGAUACCGCCCAAGAGUUCAUAUCGACGGCGGUGUUUGGCACCUCGAUGUCGGCUCAUCUCAUCCUGGGGCUGAAGCAGGUCCCAAGGGUAUGGCUGUUCGCCAUUUAAAGAGGUACGCGAGCUGGGUUUAGAACGUCGUGAGACAGUUCGGUCCCUAUCUACCGUGGGCGCUGGAAAUUUGAGAGGAUCUGCUCCUAGUACGAGAGGACCAGAGUGGACGAACCUCUGGUGUACCGGUUGUGACGCCAGUCGCAUCGCCGGGUAGCUAUGUUCGGAAGGGAUAACCGCUGAAAGCAUCUAAGCGGGAAGCCUACCUCAAGAUAAGAUUUCCCUAGGACUUUAUGUCCUCUAAAGAGCCGUUCGAGACUAGGACGUUGAUAGGUUGGAUGUGGAAGCAUAGUGAUAUGUGAAGCUGACCAAUACUAAUUGCUCGUGAGGCUUGACUAUACAACACCCAAGCAGUUG
rnacentral:rRNA from 1 species